rnacentral:rRNA from 1 species
AGAGUUUGAUCCUGGCUCAGGAUGAACGCUAGCUACAGGCUUAACACAUGCAAGUCGAGGGGAAACGACAUCGAAAGCUUGCUUUUGAUGGGCGUCGACCGGCGCACGGGUGAGUAACGCGUAUCCAACCUGCCCAUCACUUGGGGAUAACCUUGCGAAAGUAAGACUAAUACCCAAUGAUAUCUCUAGAAGGCAUCUGAAAGAGAUUAAAGAUUUAUCGGUGAUGGAUGGGGAUGCGUCUGAUUAGCUUGGUUGGCGGGGUAACGCCACCAAGCAACGAUCAGUAGGGGUUCUGGAGAGGAACGGUCCCCCANAUUGGAACUGAGACACGGUCCAAACUCCGUACGGGAGCA